rnacentral:lncRNA from 1 species
GGGCACCGUUGGGGUACACCACGGGCACUAUUGGGGUUACACCAUGGGCACUAUUGGGGUUAUAGCAUGGGCACUAUUGGGGUUACACCGUGGACAGGAGCACGGUUACACCACUGGCACCACUGGGAUUACACCAUGGCCAUUAUUGGGGUCAUAGCAUGGGCAGCACUGGGAUCACCCCACAAACACAGAAGGAGGAGGAGGGGACCACACUUAUGGGGCAGAGGAGGAACAAAGGAUCUUCCUGGAGAGGCCACGCGUUGCUGUUAGGGGGGGGUGGGCAACCCCUGUGCAUGCAGCCUCUGUGAGUGCAGCCCUUGUGCUUGCAGCUCCUGCAUGGUGCUGGAUGGGUGCACAGUGCAAGGUGGGUGCAAGGAGUCAAAUGGGUGCACAGUGCUGGGUGGUUGCAUGGGGUUGGUUGGGUGCACAGUGCUGAGUGAGUGCAUGAUUUUGGUGGUUGCACGGUGCCAGAUGCAUGCAAGGUGUGUUUGGGUGCAUGGUGCUGUGUGGGUGCAGGGUGCCGGAUGUUUGCAUGUUGGUGGUGGUGUGCAGGUUGCACAGUGCAAGGCGGGUGCUUGUUUUUGGGUGGCUGCAUGGUGCCAGAUGAGUGCACAGCGUUAGUGUGUGCACGGUGUUGGGUGGUUGCAUGGUGCAGGAUGGGUGCACAGUGCUGGGUGGGUGCAUGGCGUUGAUGUGUGCAUGGUGUUGCUGGGUGCAUGGUGCCAGAUCUGUGCACGGUGUUGGGUGAGUGCACAGCUCUGGGUGUCUGCAUGGUGCUGGAUGUGUGCACAGUGUUGCUGGGUGCACAGCUCUGGGUGUGUGCAUGGUGCAGGAUGUGUGCACAGUGUUGCUGGGUGCAUGGUGCCAGAUGUGUGCACGGUGUUGGGUGGGUGCACAACUCUGGAUGGGUGCACGGUGCAGGAUGUGUGCACAGCGUUGCUGGGUGCACAGUGUUGGUGGUUGCAUGGUGCUGGAUGCUUCCACAGUGUUGCUGGGUGCAUGGUGCCAGAUGCAUGCAUGGUGUUGGGUGGGUGCACAGUGCAGGAUGUGUGCACAGUGUUGCUGGGUGCAUGGUGUUAGUGGUUGCAUGGUGCAGGAUGCUUGCACAGCGUUGCUGGGUGCAUGGUGCCAGAUGUGUGCACGGUGUUGGGUGGGUGCACAGAGUUGCUGUGUGCACGGAGCAGGAUGGGUGCACGGUGUUGCUGGAUGCACGGUGCCGGGCGUUGCACAUCGGCUGCUCCGUCCCCACGGCCGGAUGCCAAAUUCCAACGCCCACACAGGAAGCCGUCGGCGCUCUCGAAGCUGUGCAGAGGGCCGGGCCGGCCGGAGGGAUGCGAGCGAAGGGCUGGAGGAGAAAAAGCAGGUCAGCUCCGAGCAGCCAGCGUCACCCUGGCACGGAGCAGCCGGCCUUCGAGGAAGCAGGGCGAGGGAUCGGCCGGGACGUCCCCGGGCGCACAGCGUGCGGCUGGCCACGGUGCGAGAGCUCGAGGAACGGUCGGCCCCGAGCAAAAGCUGUGGUGGUGUUACUGGGGGUCCCGGGGGUGAGGAGGGCAGGGAUGGCCGUGGGGUGUUGUGCGUGGGGCUGGAGGGAGCGGAUGGGGGAUGCUGCAGCAGUGAGCGUUGUUUUGGAGCUGGGAUCCCAUCUCGUGUUGAUGCGGCUGCAUCCCUGCAGGGCUCCAUCUGUGGGUGCAGCUCCAUCCCUGCAGGGCUCCAUCUGUGAGUAAUGGCUCCAUCCAUGGGUACGGCUCCAUCCCUGGUAUCAUCCCGUCCAUGCUAUGGCUCCAUCAAUAGGAACAGCUCCAUCCAUGGAUGCAGCUCCAACCCUGCACAGCUGCAUCCGUGGGCACAGCUCCAUCCACGGGUACAGCUCCAUCCCUGAUGUCACUUCGUCCAUCUCUGUCCCUGAUAUCACCCCACCCACGGGUACAGCUCCAUCUCUGCUGUCACUCCAUCCCUGCACGGCUCCAUCCGUGGGUACAGCUCCAUCCCUGGUAUCAUCCCAUCCACGGAUACAGGCACAGCUCCGUCCCUGCAUGGUUUCAUCCCUGUUAUCACCCCAUCCCUGGGUACAGCUCCAUCCCUGGGCUCACCCCCUCUCUGGUAUCACUCCCUCAGAGCAAAUCUCCAGCUCUGAGCACAGCUCCCAUUCCCUCCCUUUGCCCCCACCCCACUCCAUCUCCAGGCAUCUCCCCAUUGCUCACCCCGCUCCCUCCCACCUCCAUAAACACCCCCUU